GAGGGGAUAGCUCACGUGGUAGAGUGCAUGCUUCCCAUGCACAAGGUCCUGGGUUCAAUCCCCAGUACCUCCU
rfam:Camelus ferus unplaced genomic scaffold scaffold67, whole genome shotgun sequence.